GACGAACGCUGGCGGCGUGCCUAAUACAUGCAAGUCGAACGAACUCUGGUAUUGAUUGGUGCUUGCAUCAUGAUUUACAUUUGAGUGAGUGGCGAACUGGUGAGUAACACGUGGGAAACCUGCCCAGAAGCGGGGGAUAACACCUGGAAACAGAUGCUAAUACCGCAUAACAACUUGGACCGCAUGGUCCGAGUUUGAAAGAUGGCUUCGGCUAUCACUUUUGGAUGGUCCCGCGGCGUAUUAGCUAGAUGGUGGGGUAACGGCUCACCAUGGCAAUGAUACGUAGCCGACCUGAGAGGGUAAUCGGCCACAUUGGGACUGAGACACGGCCCAAACUCCUACGGGAGGCAGCAGUAGGGAAUCUUCCACAAUGGACGAAAGUCUGAUGGAGCAACGCCGCGUGAGUGAAGAAGGGUUUCGGCUCGUAAAACUCUGUUGUUAAAGAAGAACAUAUCUGAGAGUAACUGUUCAGGUAUUGACGGUAUUUAACCAGAAAGCCACGGCUAACUACGUGCCAGCAGCCGCGGUAAUACGUAGGUGGCAAGCGUUGUCCGGAUUUAUUGGGCGUAAAGCGAGCGCAGGCGGUUUUUUAAGUCUGAUGUGAAAGCCUUCGGCUCAACCGAAGAAGUGCAUCGGAAACUGGGAAACUUGAGUGCAGAAGAGGACAGUGGAACUCCAUGUGUAGCGGUGAAAUGCGUAGAUAUAUGGAAGAACACCAGUGGCGAAGGCGGCUGUCUGGUCUGUAACUGACGCUGAGGCUCGAAAGUAUGGGUAGCAAACAGGAUUAGAUACCCUGGUAGUCCAUACCGUAAACGAUGAAUGCUAAGUGUUGGAGGGUUUCCGCCCUUCAGUGCUGCAGCUAACGCAUUAAGCAUUCCGCCUGGGGAGUACGGCCGCAAGGCUGAAACUCAAAGGAAUUGACGGGGGCCCGCACAAGCGGUGGAGCAUGUGGUUUAAUUCGAAGCUACGCGAAGAACCUUACCAGGUCUUGACAUACUAUGCAAAUCUAAGAGAUUAGACGUUCCCUUCGGGGACAUGGAUACAGGUGGUGCAUGGUUGUCGUCAGCUCGUGUCGUGAGAUGUUGGGUUAAGUCCCGCAGCGAGCGCAACCCUUAUUAUCAGUUGCCAGCAUUAAGUUGGGCACUCUGGUGAGACUGCCGGUGACAAACCGGAGGAAGGUGGGGAUGACGUCAAAUCAUCAUGCCCCUUAUGACCUGGGCUACACACGUGCUACAAUGGAUGGUACAACGAGUUGCGAACUCGCGAGAGUAAGCUAAUCUCUUAAAGCCAUUCUCAGUUCGGAUUGUAGGCUGCAACUCGCCUACAUGAAGUCGGAAUCGCUAGUAAUCGCGGAUCAGCAUGCCGCGGUGAAUACGUUCCCGGGCCUUGUACACACCGCCCGUCACACCAUGAGAGUUUGUAACACCCAAAGUCGGUGGGGUAACCUUUUAGGAACCAGCCGCCUAAGGUGGGACAGAUGAUUAGGGUG
rnacentral:rRNA from 1 species